rnacentral:tRNA from 1 species
GCCCCCUUAGCUCAGGGGAUAGAGCAACGGCCUCCGGAGCCGUGUGCGCAGGUUCGAAUCCUGCAGGGGGCGCCA